UGGCCGUUCUUAGUUGGU
rnacentral:siRNA from 1 species